rnacentral:rRNA from 1 species
AUGAGUAGUACAACUCUAUCUAUCUGCUCGUGGAAUGUAAGAGGCCUAGGCAACGAAUCUAAGUGCGGUAAUAUCCUUUCCGAACUAAUCAGUAUCAACCCCCACUAUGCACUUUUACAAGAGAAGUUAAAUGAGAUUAACGACCAAAAAUUCAACUCCUUCCUGCCACGAUCUCUUGACCAAAGAAAUUUCCUACCUGCGAACGGUUCGGCCGGCGGAAUGAUUUCCGCCUUUAAUAAAAACUUUUUCUCCCUAAUCUCUUACUCCCAUCAUACGUACGCCACAUCCAUCAAACUCAUGUCGCUCGCUCACCCCCUCCCCUUUGUCAUCACAAACAUUUAUGCCCCCUCGAAUCGCAACCUCAAACAGGCAUUCCUAGAUGAGCUCAAUCUAAUUAAGGAGGAUGACCAAACUCCUUGGCUAAUUGUAGGAGAUUUCAACCUCGUCCGUUUCUCCCACGAAAAAAAUAAACGCAGCUUCCGCCAACGGGAAGCUGACGCCUUCAACUCCACGAUCAAUGCACUAGCACUAAUCGAACUACCCCUACUAGACAGACGCUUUACCUAGUCCAACAAACGAGCUUCACCAACCAUCGAACGACUAGACCGAGCUUUUUUCAAUCUGGCUUGGAACAAUGUCUUCCCCAAUACAACUCUGUCAUCUUUGCCACGAAUUACAUCUGACCACGUUUCCCUAAUUCUAAAUAUCCAAACAACUGUCCCAAAGCCACGCCACUUUAGAUUCGAAUCAGCUUGGACUUAA